rnacentral:lncRNA from 10 species
GUUGUUUUAAUAAUCUUUCAGAUCAUUUUAUUUAGCUUUCAUCCAUUUCCCUCAUUAAAGUCAGUUGAAAGUUUUGUCAACAUGUAAUAUGCAUUUGAUAUAAUGAUUUUAGUAUAAUAAUUACCUGAGGUAACACUGUGUCAGAGGAGAAGUGUGGCCAAUUAUAUCUUAAAUUACAUGAACAGCGCUUUCCCUUUCACACAGCUAUACAUUUCUUUAGGCACUAAAAAUCUGUAAUCUGUAGCUUCCAUUAAAUUGGAUUUAGUUGUUUUGCAAAUAAAAUUGUGGAAUAAAAGGUUGUAUUAGUUACUGUUCUCCAGAGAAUGAGAAUGAAUAGGGUGUAUGCAUGUGUGUGUGUGUGUGUUUACAAUCAGUUGACUCUAAGUAAAGCAGUGGAGAGCAAUGGGUGGGCCUCAUUCAAUCAGUGGCAGGCCUAAGAGCAAAGAGAGAUUUCUCAAAAAAGAAGGAAGUUUCCUCAAGACUGCAACAUGGCAAAGCUGCUCAGUAGACUCAGGACAGUGGGGUUUUCUAGAUAUACAAUCAUGUUGUCUGCAAACAGGGACAAUUUGACUUCCUCUUUUCCUAAUUGAAUACCCUUUAUUUCCUUCUCCUGCCUAAUUGCCCUGGCCAGAACUUCCAACACUAUGUUGAAUAGGAGUGGUGAGAGAGGACAUCCCUGUGUUGUGCCAGUUUUCAAAGGGAAUGCUUCCAGUUUUUGCCCAUUCAGUAUGAUAUUGGCUG